UUUGAUGGCGUGACUGCGCGUGCGCGCGAGGAUUGUUGAUGUUGCUUACAAUCCUCGCGCGCACGCGCAGUCACGCCAUCAAACA
rnacentral:miRNA from 1 species